AUUGAACGCUGGCGGCAGGCCUAACACAUGCAAGUCGAGCGGCAGCACGGGUACUUGUACCUGGUGGCGAGCGGCGGACGGGUGAGUAAUGCCUAGGAAUCUGCCUAGUAGUGGGGGAUAACGUCCGGAAACGGGCGCUAAUACCGCAUACGUCCUACGGGAGAAAGUGGGGGAUCUUCGGACCUCACGCUAUUAGAUGAGCCUAGGUCGGAUUAGCUAGUUGGUGAGGUAAUGGCUCACCAAGGCGACGAUCCGUAACUGGUCUGAGAGGAUGAUCAGUCACACUGGAACUGAGACACGGUCCAGACUCCUACGGGAGGCAGCAGUGGGGAAUAUUGGACAAUGGGCGAAAGCCUGAUCCAGCCAUGCCGCGUGUGUGAAGAAGGUCUUCGGAUUGUAAAGCACUUUAAGUUGGGAGGAAGGGCAGUUACCUAAUACGUGAUUGUUUUGACGUUACCGACAGAAUAAGCACCGGCUAACUCUGUGCCAGCAGCCGCGGUAAUACAGAGGGUGCAAGCGUUAAUCGGAAUUACUGGGCGUAAAGCGCGCGUAGGUGGUUUGUUAAGUUGGAUGUGAAAGCCCCGGGCUCAACCUGGGAACUGCAUCCAAAACUGGCAAGCUAGAG
rnacentral:rRNA from 1 species